rnacentral:sRNA from 1 species
GCUUUCCGCGUUCUCCCCUCUCCACUGGCAGUGCUAGCUCGCCGAGGCCGCCUCCGGGGUCACAAUUCCGGGGUCGCCCCCAGCACCUCUCCGCCGGGUGCAUCAACCUGAAAAAGCCCCUUCUUCCUGAAAACCCUCCUUCUCCAGCGUUUCAACGGGGAAACUGAUCAGCUGACACCAGCCCCAGUCCUGCGAGGGGCCGGCGACCUUUGACCUUUCUCCAAAGGUGUUGGUCACCUGGAUUAUAAAAGACUUCGGAGAUAGCCAUCCAGUGACCACCUGGCUUCAUGUGUGGAUUUGCACGGCUCUUGCCCAGAGGCGGGUACACUGUGUUCCAGUGUGCCACAGAACUCACGCAGUGGCACUUUGUGGCUUCAUGAAGGAAGAGGCAGGCCACGCAACACUUCCUCCCCAAGCCAAGGAGAAGUAUCACUUUUAGAGGCAGAGGAGCGGAAGGCAGUGGGGUGACCAAAAGUGCCAUUUAUUAAAGAUUGUUGGAGCAGAACUACUGAGAAAAAGCAGGCAUUGUAUCUUCAGUUGUCAUCGAGUUUGCAAUCAGAUUGGAAAAGCUCAACUUGAAGCUUUGCCUGCAGUGAAGCAGAGAGAUAGAUAUUAU